UCCGGUGGGUCCUGUGCUGGUACGGGAAGGCGACUGUUAAUCGCCUGGACGCAGGUUCGAUUCCUGCCGCCGGAGCCU
rnacentral:tRNA from 1 species